UACGUAGGGUGCGAGCGUUAAUCGGAAUUACUGGGCGUAAAGCGUGCGCAGGCGGCUUCGCAAGUCAGACGUGAAAUCCCCGGGCUUAACUUGGGAAUGGCGUUUGAAACUACGGAGCUGGAGUGUGGCAGAGGGAGGUAGAAUUCCACGUGUAGCGGUGAAAUGCGUAGAUAUGUGGAGGAAUACCGAUGGCGAAGGCAGCCUCCUGGGCCAACACUGACGCUCAUGCACGAAGGCGUGGGGAGCAAACAGG
rnacentral:rRNA from 1 species